rnacentral:lncRNA from 1 species
GGGUGGAAUCUGUCAGCCUGGGGAAAGGAGCACUAGUCACCAAAGCAGCCACAUUCCUUUGUGCAGCACACAGGGGCUGCAGCGCAGAAAACUGACGAUUACAAUCUCCCAGACCCUAGGCUAAUUACAGCUUUCCAGAAUAGUGACCAGGAAUCUGCUUUGCCGGCAAGCUUUCCAAAAUGCUUUUGAGACGGGCCUGGGCAAAAAUGAAGUUAGUCUAAAGAGAUACUGACAUCUCAUAGUCUUACUCUUCAACUAUUAUAGCAACAGACCCUAAAGAAAUGGGACUGUCUCAGGAGUCUCAGGAGAAGGAAAAGCCUCUGGUCAGAGGAGGGACUUGUCCUGCAGGAAAGGAUCCCACGGAGUUCUGCAACUUGUCAGACCACCUUACAGGAUGCGGCUGAAGCCACGUGAUGCUUACCUGAGCAGAUCCCCGCCUUCAGUUUAAGCCUUAAUCUCAGACCCCAAAUUCAGUACCAGUCUUCACAUAAGAUAAAAUCUGAGGACUGCGGAACCGGCCCAAACAUAAAGUCACAGAACACUCCUAGAAACACAGCACAACCUUAGGCAGAUGCCGGGCAGUUUGGGGUUCCUCUUUUUUUUUUAAAUCCCUUUACUUCCUGGUGACUUUUUUUUUUUUUUUUUUUUUUUUUUUCGAGACAGGGUUUCUCUGUGUAACCCUGGCUGUCCUGGAACGCACUCUGUAGACCAGACAGGCCUCGAACUCAGAAAUCCGCCUGCCUCUGCUGGGAUUAAAGGCAUGCGCCACCACACCACACCCGGUCUUCUUGUGACUUUUAAUUUGAGAUGACUAAGGUUAAACUUUUGAUGGAAGCAUUGGGGAAAAAAAAAAGAAACAAGAACAAAAACAAAACGGGUUUAGGGUUAGUUUGCAUUGCAUUUUACGUUUUAUUAUAAUUUCCAACAGAAGAGGGAUUGUGACCGCAUCACGGGGCUGCCGUAAGAGUGCACGGAGUGAGUUUUUGCGGACUUCUGGUGUUUUGUUGUUAGUUCUUCUGUUGGUUGGUUUUGGUGGCAUCAUACCGAGGAUCAGGGGCAGGGAAAGGGCGGUGGGCACGCGCAUGCUCAGCAUGGACUCCCCUGUGCCUGUUGGCUCUUCAACUGUGGAGGAGGUGUUUCUUCUAUGAGAAACCGCGCAGGCUAGACAGUCUAAGACCCUCUUCAGAGGAAGCUGGAGGUGCAACCGGCAGUCCUGGAGCGCUGAUUCCCUCUAGGACUGCACUUCUAGACAGUGCUAGGCAGAGCAUCCUUCCCCCACAGCUGUAGGCAACCUUCAUGGCCAGGAGCUUCUCUUGGUAUUCAAAACCUCCUGGCCCCAUCCCCCACCCACGUGUGCUUGGCCUCGGUUCCGGAAACACCGUUGGGACCCUGGUUGCCCACCCCACAGUUUUCCACCUUCAAAAGAGGAAGUUAGCUGAGUGUGGAGUAGAACACUUGGCUAAAGCACAACAUGCCUUAGAUUCAACCCCUAGUACUGGGGGUUGGGGGGUGGGGAGGGAGAGAGAAGGGGAGAAAGAGAGAGAGAGAUCUAUUCUGAAAGAAACUUGCAACCUUUUAAUCUAUUAUUUUAUUUGUAAUUUUAUUUUUGUCCGUAUUAGAAAUAGAAAGGAAAAAAUCCUUACAAUACCAAAGGUUUCCGUAUGUGUAGGGCAUAUUAUAUAUGUUUUCAAAUUUCUCCUGGGCUAAACAAAUGAAAAAGAUGUGAGUUUUGUUAUAAUUUUUUCUCCCGCCUCCAUCUCCAAAGUGCUAGAAUUCCAGCCAUCACCACCUUGUCGAGUUAUAUACAGCUCAGACUGACUGAUGACUGUUGAUGACUGUUUAAGCCACCAGUAGAGAAUUUUUUUUUUUUUUUUACCAAUUUUCUAUCAAUGAGAAGAUGAAAGUUCUGGGUACAAGUCUUUGCCACAGAUACACAUGACUGUGUUCAGGUCUCAUGUGGUUGUAAAGUCUAUAUAGCCCCAUGUAAAUACACAGCCAUCUGGGAUAUGCUGAGCCAGGGUUUUCCUUCAGGACUCUUCAGAUGCCCGCUCUUCUAUCUAAAUCGCAAUGUAGAAAUGAGUUAGAGGAUUAUAACUUUCCUUUGAAGAAGACAAAAGGAAGGGUGUCUCUUCUGUCACUUGGCUGGUGUUUAUCAAAUGCCAUCAAUGUACUGGUACUGACUAGAGCCCAGGAAUAAAACUAGAGCAAUAGAUGCUGGUUCAAUCCCUUUAAAGAUGCUAGUCUCCAACUUGAUUUUUUUCCCCCCUGAAAGGGAAAACACAGUUACCUCAAGAUUUUAUUAUAAAAGAAAUAAAACUCUAAUUUUUUGUUGUUGUUGUUGCUAAGGUGGGGCUCCAGCCCAGGGCCUCUCACGUGCUAAGCAAGUACUCCACCACAGAUCUGCCUCCCUGCCCUAUCAAUUUCCUCAACGCUAUCGUAAAAAUAAUAAAUCAGAAAGAUAAAUGUGAAAAGCAAAUUAUCAGCAGCUGGCCCUGAGGUACCCGCCCAGUAUUAUUACUCUGGUAGUCUAUCUGACCUUCGACUAUGCAAAGGCCAUGCAAAGUGAAAAUGAAUACACAUGCUUUUCCGUUUUCUAAAAUGCUUCGCUUUCCAAGGCACUGUGGUGCAUCAUCUCUCAGAAUACGACUUCUGACAUUAUAGCACUGGAGUUGGGAAGCUCUGGGGGACUCUAGGCUGAUCUGAGUUCUGAAGGCCACUUGGCUCACCCCUGGUUGGGGGGUGGGGGGGUGGGUUCGAGUCUGCCUCCAACGGCUCAAGCACCUCCCUGGGGGAAGAGGUGCCUGCUACAUUUUCCAAGUUUUGCAUCAGACACCAGCUCUUGUUAAUUGUGAAAAGGGUCGGCAAAGAAAAUGAAUGAUGGCAAUGUUUUUCCCUUUCCUUUCCUGAAACUGAUGAAAUAAAUUUAGGGAGCAGGUGUGGCUUCCUGUAAGACACUUGGAAAAGUUGGAAGAUGGGCACUCCAGUCUGUGGGGGAGGGGGGCGGGUGUUGAAGCGCUCAGUUGAGUCGAUCCUAGCAGUGCGGGAGGCCCUGGAUUCAAACUCCAACCCUGGGUGGAGCGAGAGGACCCAGAGUACAAGAUUAUCCUUGGCCACCAACAGUUUGAGGGGAGUUUACUACGCCAUGUGGGAGCCUCCUUC